GGGCUACACACGUGCUACAAUGGAUGGUACAACGAGUCGCGAAACCGCGAGGUUUAGCUAAUCUCUUAAAACCAUUCUCAGUUCGGACUGUAGGCUGCAACUCGCCUACACGAAGUCGGAAUCGCUAGUAAUCGCGGAUCAGCAUGCCGCGGUGAAUACGUUCCCGGGCCUUGUACACACCGCCCGUCACACCAUGAGAGUUUGUAACACCCAAAGCCGGUGGGGUAACCUUUUAGGAGCUAGCCGUCUAAGGUGGGACAGAUGAUUAGGGUGAAGUCGUAACAAGGUAGCCGUAGGAGAACCUGCGGCUGGAUCACCUCCUUUCUAAGGAA
rnacentral:rRNA from 1 species